GCCCGGUUAGCUCAGUCGGUAGAGCAGGGGAUUGAAAAUCCCCGUGUCCUUGGUUCGAUUCCGAGUCCGGGCACCA
rnacentral:tRNA from 1 species